UAUAAUGCCCCUGUUUCUGCUCCCUUGCUUAGAUGAAUCUUCUCUUAGGCCAAAGGGGAAGACGUGUUUAUACAUCACAGAGACAGAUGCUAUCAUCCUUGAAGACAAUAAUUUGUCCUGGCUAUAGAAAAUUAGCUCUCAUUGGUCACUGUGGGAGUGGACACAGAUGUUUUGUAUUAUGGUGUUCAAAGUCACACUAGUUAUUAGAGUCAUAAAGUGGCAUGAUUUUUCUGAACCCUUGAAAAAUGCUGAUAAGCUGACUGCACUGGCAAGAAUACAAUAUUAAUCACAGUAGAGCUGUAAGUACAAAUGUAAGAUGUUUCAGCUAAGCAGAAAGGAUAAUCUCUCACACCUAAGGCACUAAUGGGGUGGGUGACCAUCAAAGUGGAUGACCAACUUUGUAUGGUGAUGCACAGGUACCCUAUGAUGGUGCAUAGUCCAGAGCAACUGAGCUUGUUACAGUUUUGCAGAUUGUGUUGAAAGUGUCAGAAGACCUUGAUAAUGACAGCAAUACUUCCACAUAUGGAUUUUCAUUAUGAAGCUCUACAUUGCUCUUGUCUGAAGCAAGGUCUCCUACCAGGCCCUAUCCUGCUGCCCAAAGUCUGAACAGCAACUCAUAUAUGACAAAUGUACCUUACUGAGCAGAUUUCUUAAAGAUCAUCAGCUUUGUGGUUUAACUCUGAACAUACCCAGAUGGUGUCUGAUGCCCCUUGGAUCAUCAGUAGCGUAUGUUGAUUUCCAGAACCAACUCCUGUGAAAGGAGCUCAGCGCCUGGCAGGAUGGUGAUCAAUACAGCCAACAUGAAGCUUUGGAGGUGCACAGGCCAAUUGCUGGCUUUGUGUACCAGAAUUAAUGAUAUCCUUGGAGAUGGUGCAUUUGAAUACAUAGUGCCAGAGGCACUGUGGAGUGGCUGGCAUUGAGUACUUGGUGCCAAACAGUGAAUCGUCCUUGAGUCCCAUUGACAUCAAUGGAAAUUAAGAAUCCUCAACAUCUGGCAGGAUUUAACUCAAAAUGAAGUUCAUUCUGGUGUAUUUCUUCUGUGAAUUUAAAUUAGUUAUAUACACAUGGAUGGCACAGUGCUUUCAUUUAAAACAUUGUGAACAAGGAAAUAAGAAGCUAUGGGGUGAAGACUAUAUUUAUAACACCAGUGUGAAAGACAAAUGAGAAGUAAUUUUUCAUUGGUUGGGUGGGGUGUAUUUAUCUGUUGGAUGCCAGAUUACUUUUCCUUCCAAUCAAUACCAGGUCUGUUGCUGCAGAUACCCAUUAUUAUUUUUUUUGUGUGUGUGUAUUCAAUGGGAUGGACAAAGCUUUCCAAUUCUGAAACCAGUGGCUUCUUCAUAAGACACAAUCUCUGGAAAAUGUCAAU